AUCUCUCUCUUGGCUACUUCGCCACAGCUCUGCAGUGGUACAGGAAGCGAGGCUCCUCACAGGAUACAACCGCUCUGCUCCUCUCCCGCUCCCCUACUCACACACACCGAGAGGCGCAGUGUCCCUCUUCAUUGAAAGCGAAGGCAAACGCUGAAGAUCACAAGAAAACAAUAAUACAGCGACUCAGAUGCCGCGCAAGGCUGCGGCGGCGACCAAGAAGGAGCGGUCACCUAGCGAGAAGAGCGUGUCUAGCGUGGACAGCAUCUCGAGCCUUCCGGCCAUCAAAGAAGCCCGUACAGAGGAUGCGACUGUGGCGGCCGCGCAGGUACCUCCACGUCCACUCUCUCCACCGGCCUCUUCUGCCGCCAUGCCAGCUGCUGCCGAGGAGGUUGUUCCUCUUGCCGCACUCGUAGCUGUCAACGUGGACCGCAACGAGGAGGCCAGUUUUGGGCUGCUGAAGGAGCCGGGCCCGCCCUCCGCAGAUGUCCGGCGUGCCACAAAGGAGGGCGAGGGCGCGCCUGCCAUUCCGACAGAUCUGUUGCAGCUACUAAGUGGGUAAAAUGAAAACAAAGCCUGCGGCUUGUAAGGUGCGGAGGACAGGUGCGCGUGGUGGUAAAUGAAUUGCUGCCGCAUCGCCGUCGUCGCGUCAUGACCGGCAGCAAGACAAUGAGUGGACCCGCGCACUUCGGUGCUGAUGGGCUGCCCGUUGUGCUGCAGGCGUACUCUCGCGUAGGGAUUUCGCCGUGCACUUGUCGCUGCUUUCGGGCGAUGACGGAGGGGUCCCUGCCCGCUUACACGAGAGUGCGCUCGAUGGCGUGCAGACGUGCGUGUGUGGACCUGCUGUUGGGCAGGGUACUGGCGCUUUUCUUUUUGACGUACGUGAUCUGCCAUGGGGGCUACACAAUGCACCCAUUGGUUGACCGGCAAGGAGCCUUGAGGAU
rnacentral:misc_RNA from 1 species